UCUGUCAAUUGGGGGCGGAGCCGCAGCUGCAUGGGUCGCGAAGCCCGUGUGCGGGAAUACGACCUGAGUGUUGAAGCCGUUUCUCCGGGGGGGACCCCAGUGCGAGCACCAGUCCAAAGCUGGUUCACAACCGUGGGACUAAAACAUCGAUGGCCGACCAUGAGGACACAUGCGCAGACAGCACGGCCUUUGCCCACGAGUGGGCGAACCAAAUACGCAUGUGCACGGAUGUUAUGGGCUGAUUAGCAGAACACCGCAUUCAUCGAUAUUGGUUUUCACGCUCUCAAACCCCCCCUCUUUGGCACGGACUACAACGUCACGCUGCACCAUAAAUCUAAACCCACUCGGAAUGGACAAGACUCCUUCCUUUCUGUUAUAAAAAACCCUUUUCCCAA